ensembl:lncRNA
UUUAACUACUAACAAUUAAUCAAAAGAAAUAAUUUUUUCUAUUUGCAAGAUCAGAAACUGAAUGUCAACAAUUUACGAACUUAAUUUAUAGUUCCACUUGAAUGUGGUCUCCACUUGUGCAUGGAUUGCAUAAAUAUGGUAUGUUGUGGGAGGUUUUGGGCUUCAACGGGGGGAUUUCGACAGUCGGCGGACAUUAUUUAUUUUCUAGCUUUCCUUCAUUUUUCUAGUAGUUUGCAUGUUGUGAUUGGUCAGAAGGGUAAUAUUAGAACUCUUCCCCCCUCUUUCCCCUUUUUAAUUUCGAAGCCAAAAAUAAGAAGUACAAAAGCACACAAAUGUUUCAAUGCGCCCUGUGAUCGAGGUCUAGCUGGGACUCUGCUUGAUUAGCUUUAAGUCUGUUGUCAAACCGUCAAAGUGUUAGGUUGUUGUUGUUAACUGCACAAUGGUCUGGCAACAUUUAGACGCAACAUCUAAAUGUUUAUAACAGUUACUGGGAUUUCUUAUGCCACGGGUUUGAAGAAAACCUGCAAUUGGUUUGCUUUAGCGUAUCGCCAGCUAGAGUGAAACGGGACAGACGGAGAGAAAUGACAAGGUGCUUGUCUGUCUGCAGUGCAGCCCCUUGCAGGCGUUCUCAGAGACACAGACAUGGUGAAGGUAAGGAGGACGGGUGACCUGUUUAUGAAGUAAUGACACCUGAUCCAGCAUGGUAACCGAGAGGCCAGACGCAAACGGCCAGCUUUUCACUCUGUCUGGUAAACAUACGUCCAUCCCUGGCCCGUCGCACCGUCUAGCCAAGUCUGUUGAUGGACUUGGUAGGACCUGGAAGGACUUGGAAAGACCCGGAAGGACGGUUUUGUGCUACGUCACCGCUCAUUCCACUCAAAUAUGGGAGUAUCAGUUGGAGAAGCAUUUAUUCUAGGUUAAAGAGGAAAUGUGUGGCCUGUUAUACUUAGUAUACAAGUUGUGUCAGAGUAAGGACAAUGUUCUACUUUAGAGGUCAUUGUUUUCCAAUUUUGAGCCUUGUCUCUUUGACCGUCAAAUUGCAGCUAGUUGACAUUCUUAUGUAUAUUACUGCCAUCUAUAAUAUUCAAUACUACUACCAAUAUUGCUGCUAGUUUACAGAACUCUUUUUAAACGGCUGCUGGCUAUGUACAGUGUUAUGUAUAUUAUUGCUUUAUUUAUUUUGCGUUUUUUGCUGUAUAUAUAUUUUUCUUCUUAGUUCUCACUACAUAAUUAUAAUGUGCUAUGCCACCAUUAAUAAGCCUAUUACACUCAUAUGUAGCUAUAAUAUUCAUACAUUUUACCAGAUUGCUGCUAGUUUACAUUGUUAUGUAAAUUAUUGCCAUACUUGCCAUAUCUAUAAUGUUCAAUAAUUCUACCCAGAUUGCUGCUAGUUUAAUCUGCUGCUAGUGUACAGCGUUACGUAUAUUAUGCCUUAGUUUUUUUGUUUGACUAUUUAUUUGCUUAUAUGUUUUUCUUCAUAACUCUCACUACAUAGUGGUUGGGUAACAUGUCGUAAGUAUUUCAUUGUGCAGGAUGACGCUGUGUUGUUUGGUGCAUUUGACAAAUAAAAGUUGAAACUUUGAGCCAG